AAAGCUCGUAGUUGGAUUUCUGUUGAGGACGGCCGGUCCGCACUAUGUGCGUGUUUCUGGUUCGGCCUUGGCAUCCUCUUGAGGAACGUUCCUGCGCUUGAUUGCGUGGGGCGGUAUUCAAGACUUUUACUUUGAGGAAAUUAGAGUGUUCACGGCAGGCAAGCGCCUUGAAUACAUUAGCAUGGAAUAAUAAUAUAGGAUCUUGGUUCUAUUUGUUGGUUUCUAGGGCUAAGGUAAUGAUUAAUAGGGAUAAUUGGGGGCAUUUGUAUUAACGCGUCAGAGGUGGAAUUCUUGGAUUGCGUUACGACAAACUACUGCGAAAGCAUUUGCCAAGGAUGUUUUCAUUGAUCAAGAACGAAAGUAUGGGGAUCGAAGAUGAUUAGAUACCGUCGUAGUCUAUACCAUAAACUAUGCCGACUAGGGAUUGGAGGUCGUUCUUUUUAUGACUCCUUCAGCACCUUAUGAGAAAUCAAAGUCUUUGGGUUCCGGGGGGAGUAUAGUCGCAAGGCUGAAACUUAAAGGAAUUGACGGAAGGGCACCACCAGGAGUGGAGCCUGCGGCUUAAUUUGACUCAACACGGGGAAACUCACCAGGUCCAGACAUAGUAAGGAUUGACAGAUUGAUAGCUCUUUCUUGAUUCUAUGGGUGGUGGUGCAUGGCCGCUCUUAGUUGGGGGAGGGAUUUGUCUGGUUUAUUUCGAUAAACGAACGAGAUCUUAACCUGCUAAAUAGUUACACGUAUCUCCGGAUAUUUGAUAAACUUCUUUAGAGGGACCUUUUGGU
rnacentral:rRNA from 1 species